rnacentral:lncRNA from 1 species
AUGGAGACCAGAAGCGGUCGGCUGCUGAAGCGGGCGGCUGCGAGCUAAACUGAUCGGCACGCGAAACCGGAGCCCUGGAGAGCGUGCGGCGGCCUGAGGCUGCCUCUCGGGCUGACCAUUCCGGGUUCGGGGUAGGCCGGAGUUCUUCAGGGAGCGUCCCCGCCCCGACGCGCGGGUCCCCGCCUCCCGCGGCCGCACCGCCCCCCGGCUCCGCCCGCUCAGCCCGGCUAACGGUCGGCGCGGCCUGCCACGAGGGAGCGUCCGCGGCCCGCGCAGAGCCGCGCACCAAGCCGAUGGCGGUGGACGCAGCAGGGCCCCGCGGUCUGAGUGCGGGCAGGCGCGCGUGGGCGUGUCUCCCUGGCCCACGCGUGUCCCCGGCAUCAGUGUCUCGGCUCUGGUCCAGGACGAAGACUUCUGAAAGCGAGCCAAGGAGAAUCGCAGUUCUUAACGGAGCCCCUGACUGCCGGUGGAACUGCCCUGUGGAAGGAGGUGAUUUAGAAGACAGUGAGACUCAGCUACUGUUCCCAUCGAGAUGCAAAGGACACAGAGCUCACGGGUGCUCCAGCAAUGCUGGUGUCAUGUUUGGAGGUAGCUGUCUAUGGACUACAGUAUUCUCCCAGUGCCAGUCUGCAGUCACUGCAAAGCCUCCCAAUAGAACAUUUCUUCCUGAGCCAAUCUAUCAGUGUAGCUCAGACUCUGGAAGCAAAUGACCUCUCCUGGCAGAGCCUUCACUGUGUGGGGAACAUCAGAUUUGUGUAAAGAAGAUCACCUGUCUCUUCUCAGGUGUGCACUGUAGAGAAGCUGCUGCGAAGGCCACAGGUCACUCAGGAAAAGUUGGGGCAGUUUCCUAGGUUCAAGGGAGACUGGACAUCAAAGCUGCACUGGGACAUCUGGACGCCUUGAUCCACUUUGGCCAUUCCACCUCAGCUCAGAAUUACUCACUGGUGUCAGCACAGGAUGUUUCUUGGCUUCAAACCAUUUGGAUAAGUGAUGGCAGCAAGCUUUGGACUGUAAAGUCACCUCUUUAAAUCUUGAUGCCGUGCCGUGAAUCCCAGCACUCCUACGGGAAGAUGGGAGGCGGAGGCAGGAGUUCAUCUGGAAGCUUGAGGCCAGCCACCCAGAUCCUCAGAGCUGCAGACAAAAGAGAGGCCCUGCAGCAAAAGAGUGGAAGGUGAGAACCAACUCCGGAAAGUUGCCCUCUGACCUUUACAAGUGUAUAUGUCCACAUACAUACAAUAAAAUCAAUUGCUCAAUC